UACGUAGGGAGCAAGCGUUGUCCGGAAUCAUUGGGCGUAAAGCGCGCGUAGGUGGUCCCGUAAGUCCGCUGUGAAAGUCAAAGGCUCAACCUUUGAAAGCCGGUGGAUACUGUGGGACUAGAGUACGGAAGAGGCGAGUGGAAUUCCUGGUGUAGCGGUGGAAUGCGCAGAUAUCAGGAGGAACACCAGAUCGAAGGCAGCUCGCUGGGACGUUACUGAC
rnacentral:rRNA from 1 species